rnacentral:rRNA from 1 species
UACGUAGGAUCCAAGCGUUGUCCGGAUUUACUGGGUGUAAAGGGUGCGCAGGGCGGACUGGUGAGUCUGGGGUGAAAUCUCGCCGCUUAACGGCGAAACUGCCUUAAGAUACUAUCAGUCUUGAAUCAGCGAGAGGUUCGUGGAAUUCCGAGUGUAGCAGUGAAAUGUGUAGAUAUUCGGAAGAACACCAGUGGCGAAGGCAGCGAACUGGCGCUCGAUUGACGCUCAGGCACGAAGCAUGGGGAAUCAACAGG